CCUACGGGUGGCAGCAGUGAGGAAUAUUGGUCAAUGGACGAGAGUCUGAACCAGCCAAGUAGCGUGAAUGAUGACUGCCCUAUGGGUUGUAAACUUCUUUUAUAUGGGAAUAAAAUGUUCCACGUGUGGGAUUUUGUAUGUACCAUAUGAAUAAGGAUCGGCUAACUCCGUGCCAGCAGCCGCGGUAAUACGGAGGAUCCGAGCGUUAUCCGGAUUUAUUGGGUUUAAAGGGAGCGUAGGUGGAUUGUUAAGUCAGUUGUGAAAGUUUGCGGCUCAACCGUAAAAUUGCAGUUGAAACUGGCAGUCUUGAGUACAGUAGCGGUGGGCGGAUUUCGUGGUGUAGCGGUGCAAUGCUUAGAUAUCACGAAGAACUCCGAUUGCGAAGGCAGUUCACUGGACUGCAACUGACACUGAGGCUCGAACGUGUGGGUAUCAAACAGGAUUAGAUACCCGGGUAGUC
rnacentral:rRNA from 1 species